ACACGAGAUGAGAGAGAGAGAGGCGGGGGAUGCUGGAAGGAUGCUGGAGGCUGGUAAAUUUGAACGAGGAAGAAAAUUGAUGUUAAUGACAGGCAUGUCGCUCACCGGCACUUCUUUCACACUAGAACGAAGGGAGAAUGAAGGCAAAUAUUAAAUAGUAGGAGAAGUAGGAGGAGAAGAAGAAGAGGAAGAAGAAGAAGAAGAAGAAGAAGAAGAAAAGAAAAUUGCAAAAGGAAAAGAAGAAUAAGAACUAAAAGAAAAGGAAAGAAAUGGUAACAAAGGAGAAAAUACAAAAAACUAUGAACAAGAAAGAAGAAAAAGAA